AUGUGUAAAUAUAUUAGCCCUAACAUACCUGUACAGGUAAAUGUACUAGUCCUAACAUACCUGUACAGGUAAAUGUACUAGUAUUAGCCCUAACAUUCCUGUACAGGUAAAUGUACUAGUCUUAACAUACCUACAAUGCUUUACUCGCAUAAAUACAUGCCUACAUUAACAUUUACUGUUAUCUUUAUAUAUCUAGCUCAGUUACAGCUCAAAAUUGCUGUUUAUCUUUCAUGAUUUUUGUUUAACUAAUUUAUGCACAUGUCUGCAUAAUUCUUUUUAACUAAACAAGUACUGAUGUAGAAUGGUGACUAUCAUUACAUGGUCAGAACAAAUUAAUUGCCUGGGUGAUCACACCCCAUUUUGUGUGAAUAUAGACACAGGAAGUAACAUGCUAUUCUUGUGACGGAUUAUGACUUAUAACAAAGGAAGCAUAGGAAUUACACCAAACAAAACAAUACAAAUAUCUGAUAAUGCUCAAGGAAAUACGCACUGCCCAUCAUUUUAACAUAGCCAUGCUAAGUUCUCACUUACAAACAUUCCACAUUCUCCGACACAUCCUUCCAACUUUCUCAUCGGCGAAAGGUCAGUUUUAGACAACUUAAAAACAUCGGGUUCCCAGCCCCCCCCCCCCCCAUAAAGCUAAAUGUUUCAGAAAAUUAAAGCUCCCUGAAUUUAGAGUAACAACAAAUUAAUAUCUAAUUACCUUUGACCAUGAAUUAUCACAUACAAAGACAUAAAUCUGUUCAUAUUAAUGGGGUAUUUUUGGCAUUUACUGGAAUCUGAAAAUAUUCAAUAGCCACAAAAUCGAAUUGAUUUCUGUAUAUCUAUCAAAAUUUUAAACAAGGGAAAGAAACAGUACAGAUUAUAGAAACAUCAAGUAAAUAAUUGUGUUGUUCCAUUUUUUUUGCAACUGGAAAUAUUCAAUUAGCUUCAACUAGAAAAAUUCCUAAGGUUUCUUACUCAUAUAUCAUUCCUUCUUACAGAAGACUUUCCAUAAAUCUAAUACUAUCUAAAUACUGAGUCAUGCUUUCAAUGGAACCAUAACGUUUCAUUCAAAAUAAUAUCUGAAAUUUUAUUUCACUUCAAUCACUUUCUAAUAGUGUCAUACAUCAGAUCCUGAUAUACACAUAACAUACAUACUGACAUCUGACUUCAGGUAUUAUAGCUACAACAAUCAAACUCUCCUUCUGGAUGUAUACAUUUGUUUAUGGAGUUUCCAUUGAGAUACCAACAUGAUUACUUUAUAUAUGUUUAUGACUAAAAUUUUAAGGUAAAGGGUACCAAUGCAUCAGUUAUGAUGGAGAAGAGUUUUACAGAAAAUGAAGCCAACAAAAGUAGUUGUUCUUGCUUAGAGUAACUUCCCCUGCCAAGCUCUGUAUCUUUCAAUGUUCGUUUUUAUUUUCAACGACUUUGUCACCCAUAAACUGGACUUAUAUUUUCAUUUAUGACUCCUGGACAGUAACAAAUGGUAAAGUGUAGGUUUCGCAGGGUAAAGGUCCAAAGUUUGACCCCUACAUUUUUUCAGGGUUUUAGUUUAUUUCUGUUUUCAAACAUUAGAACCAAAACAACUAUCAUUCUGUAAAUGCAUCACAACAAGUGAUUUUUAUGGAAUACUUCUUUUGGAAAGGACUUCAAACAAAUAUUUCACAAUAGUAACAGUAGAAAUAAUGAAGUUCAACUUGUUGCUACCCUUAAUUCUCAUGAUUUUUUUGUCUAUUUGAAAACAUUCUUGUUCCUUAAAUACAAGUAUAAUAUAUAAAGAAAGUAUCUUGUAGCAUGGAUAUGAAUUGCGAAACACCUUUUGGCACAAAAUCAUAUUAUGCUAAUUAACCAAUUUCUAUAUUUCAACUUGUUGACAGACUUCAUACACACAGGGUACACAAACCAGUUUCACAAUCAUGAGGUCUGGUUAUCAGAUUAGUUCAGUCUUCAAACUAAUUUAUCUUUAUCAAGAAAAUUUGAAAUGUAUUACAUUGUAUUUGCAAAAGAAACCAAAAAACAUUAGCCUGUCAGCAAUUUAUCUAACUAGCAAAACACUUAAAAAAAUAUUAUUAAAUAGGCAAUUGUUCUGAUUUGAGUCCAAAUCUACAUGUAAGUAUCUAUCAUCACAGAUUGAUUUUGUUUUAUAGCUAAUCUAGGUUAUACAAUAAUGUAGAAGAGCAGCCAGCAACAAUCAACAAUCAGGCUGAAACACAAUGGAAGAAUCAAGCUUGUUCAACAGUAUCAAGCCAGCCCCUAGUAAUAACAACAGUAAUUUGGGACAGAAAACAGUUUGGCAACUCUCUCACUCUUUGGACUUAAAGAGAUAUGUAAUAUUUACUUUGGCUAUUUUUUUCAUGGUAUCACCAAAAGAAGUUUAUUGAAGUUUCAUAGCAAAUAAUGUAGUCUUUGCUUCCAUCCUCCAUUUUAAUACCACAGAACUUGUAUUUUAAGUUGCCUUCAACUUGAGCAGAACAUUUUUGUGACAAUUAAGAAACAAGGUCAGCUUUAAAAAAAAUAAGAAAAUCACAGAACAUGAACAAACAAUUGUGGCAAGACGAGUCAAUUUGAUCUGUUAAUAUUUCUACCUGUAAAAUAAAAUAUCUAGUCAAUCAUAGUAUAAAUCUGUCCUAUUGCAUCGAACUACAUACUGAAUAUUUGUAUUCUUUAAAAGUCUACUUAAAUAAAAAAUAAAUUAAAAAAACACCUGCAUCGAUUAUAAAACCGUAACUUUUCUAUUGUAGAGCUAGCUUGGACAAAAACACAGCCCGUAUAUUUAUCUAACUUCGUUGCGGAGGGGGGGGGGG
rnacentral:lncRNA from 1 species